AAGAGUUUGAUCAUGGCUCAGAUUGAACGCUGGCGGCAGGCCUAACACAUGCAAGUCGAACGGUAACAGGAAGCAGCUUGCUGCUUUGCUGACGAGUGGCGGACGGGUGAGUAAUGUCUGGGAAACUGCCUGAUGGAGGGGGAUAACUACUGGAAACGGUGGCUAAUACCGCAUAACGUCGCAAGACCAAAGAGGGGGACCUUCGGGCCUCUUGCCAUCAGAUGUGCCCAGAUGGGAUUAGCUUGUUGGUGAGGUAACGGCUCACCAAGGCGACGAUCCCUAGCUGGUCUGAGAGGAUGACCAGCCACACUGGAACUGAGACACGGUCCAGACUCCUACGGGAGGCAGCAGUGGGGAAUAUUGCACAAUGGGCGCAAGCCUGAUGCAGCCAUGCCGCGUGUAUGAAGAAGGCCUUCGGGUUGUAAAGUACUUUCAGCGGGGAGG
rnacentral:rRNA from 8 species